rnacentral:rRNA from 1 species
UAUUGCUCUUAAACGAGGAAUCCCUAGUAAGCACAAGUCAUCAGCUUGUGCUGAUUACGUCCCUGCCCUUUGUACACACCGCCCGUCGCUACUACCGAUUGAAUGGCUUAGUGAGGCCUUCGGAUUGAGAUUCGGAGUUUGGCAACAGACUCUGGGUUUUAAAAAGUUGGUCAAACUUGGUCAUUUAGAGGAAGUAAAAGUCGUAACAAGGUUUCCGUAGGUGAACCUGCGGAAGGAUCAUUACCAAUUUUAGCGAGCCUGAUUCUUUGGGUCAUGGUCUCGUGAUAACUGUAUUUAAAACCCCACUCUUAUAUAAAAUAAUGAAUCUUAUAAUAAUAAAUAAAGAUCACUUUCAACAACGGAUCUCUUGGCUCUCGCAUCGAUGAAGAACGUAGCGAAGUGCGAUAAGUAAUGUGAAUUGCAGAAUUCCGUGAAUCAUCGAAUCUUUGAACGCAAAUUGCACUCUCCGGCACUCCGGGGAGUAUGCCUGUUUGAGGGUCGUCGGUAUAAAUCGGUAUGUUGCUUCUUCUGUAACGUUCCGGAGUUUGGGUUAUCUUAGCUUUUUUAAGGUUUAAGUGACUUAAAAUUAAUCUUUUUUGCGCAUUUUUAGACGUAUAUAAAAUUUUUUUUAUUCGUCUUAUAAUGCCAAAAUUUUAUUAGAUACAAUCAUCAUAUCAUGUGGUUUCGUAUCUAUAAGUUUUCACAAUUUGACCUCAAAUCAGGUAGGAGUACCCGCUGAACUUAAGCAUAUCAAUAAGCGGAGGAAAAAGAAAAAAUAACAAUGAUUCCUUUAGUAACUGCGAGUGAAGGAGGAAAGGCUCAAAUUUUAAAUCUGUUAGAUUACCUAAACGAGUUGUAAUUUCGAAGAAGCGUUUUCUGCGUAGUUUGUUCAGCCUAGUCCUAUUGGAAUGAGCCAUCAUGGAGGUGAUAUUCCGUUCGGUGAUUCAGUGCCGUUACAGUUCGCUUCAGACUCAAGUGUGGUAUUGCAGCUUAA